rnacentral:rRNA from 1 species
GACGAACGCUGGCGGCGUGCCUAAUACAUGCAAGUAGAACGCACAGUUUAUACCGUAGCUUGCUACACCAUAGACUGUGAGUUGCGAACGGGUGAGUAACGCGUAGGUAACCUGCCUGGUAGCGGGGGAUAACUAUUGGAAACGAUAGCUGAUACCGCAUAAUAUUGAUUAUUGCAUGAUAAUUGAUUGAAUGAUGCUAUUGCAUCACUACCAGAUGGACCUGGGUUGUAUUAGCUAGUAGGGGAAGUAACGGCGCACCUAAGCGACGAUACAUAGCCGACCUGAGAGGGGGAACGGCCACACUGGGACUGGGACACGGCCCCGACUCCUACGGGAGGCAGCAGUAGGGAAUCUUCGGCAAUGGACGAAAGUCUGACCGAGCAACGCCGCGUGAGUGAAGAAGGUUUUCGGAUCGUAAAGCUCUGUUGUAAGAGAAGAACGGGUGUGAGAGUGGAAAGUUCACACUGUGACGGUAUCUUACCAGAAAGGGACGGCUAACUACGUG